ACAUGGAUAAUUCCUGACUACCCCACUUUAUGCAAGAAAUAUGCCUGUGCCUCAAGCUUUCAAAGUCCUUUUUUCUGGUUAUGUGGUUACAGACUUAGAUUAUCAGUAUCCCCUAAUGGAGAUAAAGAAACAAGUCAUUCAUUCCUCUCUUUAUACCUAACAUUAUAUGAAGACCAUUUGCGAACUUCUGGUGAUGUUCAUGUGGUACCCAGCAGUAAAGCCACUAUAAGUUUCAGAUGACUGUGAUCAGCCAAGUGCCUGGCGUCAAUGAUGUUUCUCUAAAAGGAACUGAAGUAUUUGGCAAAAACAAGACUUGGGGAUGGACCAAGUUCAUGACGACAACUGAAACACUUUCCUCGUCCUAUUGUAGUUAUGCUGAUAAAAGUUUAAAAAUGAAAUGUACCAUAUAUCCAGAAACCUAAUGAACACAAUUUUAAUAUGAUUAUAUAUAUUUUUAUAAAUUUAUGUGUAUAUAGAGAGAGAGUUCAACAAAUAAUAGUUGCAGCUGUUUGGUUAUUGUUCAAAGUAUCAAAUAUUAUAUCAGUUAUAAUAGCAAAUAUAUUCUUUUCUGAAAAUAAACUGAUCAAUAGGA